CAAUUCCCAAGGUUCCAGAAUGCUACACACUUCCUGACCUUUGUUUCUGAUACAUUCUUUGAGAGGACAUCUCCACCUACCCCGUCACCUGGAUUGGAUCACCAGCCUCUCCCAAGAUGGGCCUGGCUUCCUCCUUGCUGGGGAAAGGAACAGGCAAUUCCACGGAGACGUCGUGCAGAUUGGCGGUGGCCAGGCUCCGGUGGAGGGAGGUGGCAGGCAAUGGAGAGUGGCUGCUGGCAGGCGUGGGGCUUCUCAGAAGAAAAAUGUUCUAAAAUUACCUUGUGGCUAUGGUUCCACACACUGAGACUAUACUAAAACCACUGUUUCAUCGCUGCUGUGCUGUUGACCUGCAGACACGCUCCAGGGCCAUGUCCAGCAUGCAUGACAGUGUCCUCCCCGGUACCCACUGACUGCAGUGGCUGAGCUUUGCUGUCUGGGUAAAUUACAUAAAAUCGUGUGCAAGGCUCCAUUGGAGGUCCUCUGGCACCACCACGUGGCUGGGCUGAGAGUCCCCAGCCUGCUUGGCUGAGUUCCUCACCAGAUGCUUUCACACUUCUCUGAUUCUGGAGUAAAAUUUCUGAGGUGUGUCGUCAUUUGUAAUCGGUUAGAAUAUUUGUCACAGUCCUCCUAGUUUGAGAUUUCCUCAAGUCCUAGUUGAGUUUGUAUUUACUCUGCAUACAAUAAAUUUGAGUUUUUGGCUUUUCUGUGUCUUUCCACAACUUGGGAAUGCAAUCAGAAAUCUUCCACCCACUACCACACGGAACAAUUCCAUCACUCAUCAACCCACUCCCAAACCCUUGGAAGCCCUGCACCCUUUUCUGUUCUACAUUUUUGCCUUCUCCAGGAUGCUAUAUAUAUGGAAACACACAAUAUGCAGCCUUUGGGGGCUGCCUCUUUCACUAACCAAAUGCAUUAAGAUUCACCCACGUCGUGUGAGUCAGCUGCUCACCCCUGUCACUGUUGCAUAGUCUUACAUUGUGUGAACACACCGCAGUCUGUUUCUCCACUCAUGUGUUGAAGGACAAACUUGGUUGUUUCCAGUAUGAGGUGUUGUGAAUAAAACUGUCAUAAACAUCUGAAAAUUGCU